AUUGAACGCUGGCGGCAGGCUUAGCACAUGCAAGUCGAGCGGGGUGAUGGUGCUUGCACUAUCACUUAGCGGCGGACGGGUGAGUAAUGCUUAGGAAUCUGCCUAUUAGUGGGGGACAACAUCUCGAAAGGGAUGCUAAUACCGCAUACGUCCUACGGGAGAAAGCAGGGGAUCACUUGUGACCUUGCGCUAAUAGAUGAGCCUAAGUCGGAUUAGCUAGUUGGUGGGGUAAAGGCCUACCAAGGCGACGAUCUGUAGCGGGUCUGAGAGGAUGAUCCGCCACACUGGGACUGAGACACAGCCCAGACUCCUACGGGAGGCAGCAGUGGGGAAUAUUGGACAAUGGGGGGAACCCUGAUCCAGCCAUGCCGCGCGUGUGAAGAAGGCCUUAUGGUUGUAAAGCACUUUAAGCGAGGAGGAGGCUCUUUUGGUUAAUACCCAAGAUGAGUGGACGUUACUCGCAGAAUAAGCACCGGCUAACUCUGUGCCAGCCGCCGCCGUAA
rnacentral:rRNA from 1 species